UACGUAGGGGGCAAGCGUUGUCCGGAUUUACUGGGCGUAAAGGGCGCGUAGGCGGCCAGCACAAGUCAGUUGUGAAAUCUCCGAGCUUAACUCGGAAAGGUCAACUGAUACUGUGCGGCUAGAGUGCGGAAGGGGCAACUGGAAUUCUUGGUGUAGCGGUGAAAUGCGUAGAUAUCAAGAGGAACACCUGCGGCGAAGGCGGGUUGCUGGGCCGACACUGACGCUGAGGCGCGAAAGCCAGGGGAGCGAACGGG
rnacentral:rRNA from 1 species